GCCCGGUUAGCUCAGUCGGUAGAGCGUGGGACUUUUAAUCAUAAGGUCAAGGGUUCAACCCCCUUAGCGUGCG
rnacentral:tRNA from 1 species